AGUGGCGGACGGGUGAGUAACGCGUGAGAAUCUGCCUUGGGGUCGGGGACAACCACUGGAAACGGUGGCUAAUACCGGAUAAGCCGAUUGGUGAAAGAUUUAUUGCCCGAAGAGGAGCUCGCGUCUGAUUAGCUAGUUGGUGAGGUAAGAGCUCACCAAGGCAGCGAUCAGUAGCUGGUCUGAGAGGACGAUCAGCCACACUGGGACUGAGACACGGCCCAGACUCCUACGGGAGGCAGCAGUGGGGAAUUUUCCGCAAUGGGCGAAAGCCUGACGGAGCAAGACCGCGUGAGGGAGGAAGGCUCUUGGGUUGUAAACCUCUUUUCUCAGGGAAGAAGCUCUGACGGUACCUGAGGAAUCAGCCUCGGCUAACUCCGUGCCAGCAGCCGCGGUAAUACGGAGGAGGCAAGCGUUAUCCGGAAUUAUUGGGCGUAAAGCGUCCGCAGGUGGCGAUUCAAGUCUGCUGUCAAAGCACGGGGCUUAACUCCGUAAAGGCAGUGGAAAUUGAAUAGCUAGAGUGCCGUAGGGGUAGAGGGAAUUCCCGGUGUAGCGGUGAAAUGCGUAGAGAUCGGGAAGAACAUCGGUGGCGAAAGCGCUCUACUGGACGGCAACUGACACUCAGGGACGAAAGCUAGGGGAGCGAAUGGGAUUAGAUACCCC
rnacentral:rRNA from 1 species